rnacentral:rRNA from 1 species
CAUGCAGUCGAGCGCGAAUGGAGCAAUCCUAGUAGAGCGGCGCACGGGUGCGUAACACGUGGAUAAUCUGCCUGGGUGUCUGGGAUAACCAGUCGAAAGAUUGGCUAAUACCGGAUAAGCCCCCGGGAGCUUCGGCUCCUGAGGGAAAAGGUGGCCUCUGUAUACAAGCUAUCACAUCCAGAUGAGUCCGCGGCCCAUCAGCUAGUUGGCGGGGUAAUGGCCCACCAAGGCAACGACGGGUAGCUGGUCUGAGAGGACGAUCAGCCACACUGGAACUGAGACACGGUCCAGACUCCUACGGGAGGCAGCAGUGGGGAAUUUUGCGCAAUGGGCGAAAGCCUGACGCAGCAACGCCGCGUGUGUGAUGAAGGUCUUCGGAUUGUAAAGCACUUUCGACCGGGACGAAAACCCGUUGGCUAACAUCCAACGGCUUGACGGUACCGGGAGAAGAAGCACCGGCUAACUCUGUGCCAGCAGCCGCGGUAAUACAGAGGGUGCAAGCGUUGUUCGGAAUUAUUGGGCGUAAAGCGCGUGUAGGCGGCUUUGCAAGUCGGGUGUGAAAGCCCUCAGCUCAACUGAGGAAGUGCGCCCGAAACUGCAGAGCUUGAGUGCCGGAGAGGGUGGCGGAAUUCC